rnacentral:rRNA from 1 species
GACGAACGCUGGCGGCGUGCUUAACACAUGCAAGUCGAACGGUAAGGCCCUUCGGGGUACACGAGUGGCGAACGGGUGAGUAACACGUGGGUGAUCUGCCCUGCACUCCGGGAUAAGCCUGGGAAACUGGGUCUAAUACCGGAUAGGACCCUGGGAUGCAUGUCCUGGGGUGGAAAGCUUUUGCGGUGUGGGAUGGGCCCGCGGCCUAUCCGCUUGUUGGUGGGGUGAUGGCCUACCAAGGCGACGACGGGUAGCCGGCCUGAGAGGGUGACCGGCCACACUGGGACUGAGAUACGGCCCAGACUCCUACGGGAGGCAGCAGUGGGGAAUAUUGCACAAUAGGCGCAAGCCUGAUGCAGCGACGCCGCGUGAGGGAUGACGGCCUUCGGGUUGUAAACCUCUUUCAGCACCGACGAAGCGCAAGUGACGGUAGGUGCAGAAGAAGGACCGGCCAACUACGUGCCAGCCGCCGCCGUAA